rnacentral:ncRNA from 1 species
CUCUAUCCGGAUGAAAAGGGAAUCGGGUGCAAAUCCCGGACAGUCCCGCUGCUGUGAAACUCCGUUUUUAUAAAUUACGAUAAAUACUAUAAUGGCCACUGGCUGCUUCGAGGAGACGAAGCGCCGGGAAGGCGUCGGAAAUGAGGAGUCAGUCAGAAGACCUGCCGUUCAUCAA